GACGAACGCUGGCGGCGCGCCUAACACAUGCAAGUCGAACGAGCGAGAGAGAGCUUGCUUUCUCGAGCGAGUGGCGAACGGGUGAGUAACGCGUGAGGAACCUGCCUCAAAGAGGGGGACAACAGUUGGAAACGACUGCUAAUACCGCAUAAGCCCACGGCUCGGCAUCGAGCAGAGGGAAAAGGAGCAAUCCGCUUUGAGAUGGCCUCGCGUCCGAUUAGCUAGUUGGUGAGGUAACGGCCCACCAAGGCGACGAUCGGUAGCCGGACUGAGAGGUUGAACGGCCACAUUGGGACUGAGACACGGCCCAGACUCCUACGGGAGGCAGCAGUGGGGAAUAUUGCACAAUGGGGGAAACCCUGAUGCAGCGACGCCGCGUGGAGGAAGAAGGUCUUCGGAUUGUAAACUCCUGUUGUUGAGGAAGAUAAUGACGGUACUCAACAAGGAAGUGACGGCUAACUACGUGCCAGCAGCCGCGGUAAAACGUAGGUCACAAGCGUUGUCCGGAAUUACUGGGUGUAAAGGGAGCGCAGGCGGGAAGACAAGUUGGAAGUGAAAUCCAUGGGCUCAACCCAUGAACUGCUUUCAAAACUGUUUUUCUUGAGUAGUGCAGAGGUAGGCGGAAUUCCCGGUGUAGCGGUGGAAUGCGUAGAUAUCGGGAGGAACACCAGUGGCGAAGGCGGCCUACUGGGCACCAACUGACGCUGAGGCUCGAAAGUGUGGGUAGCAAACAGGAUUAGAUACCCUGGUAGUCCACACUGUAAACGAUGAUUACUAGGUGUUGGAGGAUUGACCCCUUCAGUGCCGCAGUUAACACAAUAAGUAAUCCACCUGGGGAGUACGACCGCAAGGUUGAAACUCAAAGGAAUUGACGGGGGCCCGCACAAGCAGUGGAGUAUGUGGUUUAAUUCGACGCAACGCGAAGAACCUUACCAAGUCUUGACAUCCUGCGACGGUUCUGGAAACAGAACUUUCCUUCGGGACGCAGAGACAGGUGGUGCAUGGUUGUCGUCAGCUCGUGUCGUGAGAUGUUGGGUUAAGUCCCGCAACGAGCGCAACCCUUAUGGUCAGUUACUACGCAAGAGGACUCUGGCCAGACUGCCGUUGACAAAACGGAGGAAGGUGGGGAUGACGUCAAAUCAUCAUGCCCUUUAUGACUUGGGCUACACACGUACUACAAUGGCGUUAAACAAAGAGAAGCAAGACCGCGAGGUGGAGCAAAACUCAGAAACAACGUCCCAGUUCGGACUGCAGGCUGCAACUCGCCUGCACGAAGUCGGAAUUGCUAGUAAUCGCAGAUCAGCAUGCUGCGGUGAAUACGUUCCCGGGCCUU
rnacentral:rRNA from 1 species